AUGGGAGUGGCGCACGGGUGCGUGCGCGUAUGUGACCUACCUUAUUGAGGGGGAUAGCCCGGAGAAAUUCGGAUUAUACCGCGGUGAUGAAAAGCUGGCAUCGGUUUUUCAUGAAAGAUUUAUUGCUAAAGAUGGACAUGCGUCUGAUUAGUUAGUUGGUGAGGUAACGGCUCACCAAGACGAUGAUCAGUAGGGGUUCUGAGAGGAAGGUCCCCCACACUGGCACUGAGAUACGGGCCAGACUCCUACGGGAGGCAGCAGUAGGGAAUAUUGGGCAAUGGAGGGAACUCUGACCCAGCCAUGCCGCGUGCUGGACGAAGGAGCUAUGCUCUGUAAACUGCUUUAGCUUGGGAAGAAAAGGCGUCUGCGGACGAUAUUGACGGUACCCUGAUAAUAAGCACCGGUUAACUACGUGCCAGCAGCCGCGGUAAUACGUACGGUGCAAGCGUUGUCCGGAUUUAUUGGGUUUAAAGGGUGCGUAUGCGGCUUUAUAAGUCAGUGUUUAAAGCACAUAUCUCAACUAUGGAACUGGCAUUGAUUCUGUAGAGCUCGAGUAGAAACGGGGCAGGCGGAAUUUAUGGUGUAGCGUUGAAAUGCAUAGAUACCAUAAAGAACACCGAUAGCGAAGGCAGCUUGCCAGGAUCUAACUGACGCUGAGGCACGAAAGCGUGGGGGAUCAAACAGGAUUAGAUACCCUGGUAGUCCACGCUGUAACGAUGAUUACUGGUUGUUGGCGAUAGAUAGUCAGCGACCAAGCGAAAGCAUUAAGUAAUCCGCCUGGGGAGUACGCCCGCAAGGGUGAAACUCAAAGGAAUUGACGGGGGUCCGCACAAGCGGUGGAGCAUGUGGUUUAAUUCGAUGAUACGCGAGGACCCUUACCCGGGCUAGAAUGUGAAGGAAUAAUUUAGCGAUAGCUUAGUCGGCACCGACUUGAACCAAGGUGCUGCAAGGCCGUCGUCAGCUCGUGCCGUGCGGUGUUGGGUUAAGUUCCGCAACGAGCGCAACCCCUAUGUUUAGUUGCCAUCAUUAAGUUGGGGACUCUAGUCAGAGUGCCUGCGCAAGCAGAGAGGAAGGAGGGGACGAUGUCAAUUCUUCAUGGCCCUUACGCCCGGGGCUACACACGUGCUACAAUGGCUGUUUCAGUGGGCUGCCAGUUAGUAAUAGCAAGCCAAUCCCAAAAAAGCAGUCUCAGUUCGGAUUGAGGUCUGCAACUCGCCCUUAUGUAGCCGGAAUUAAUAGUAAUCGCGCAUCAGCAAUGGCGCGGUGAAUCGUUCCCGGACCUGGACACACCGCCCGUCAAUCCAUGGAAGCCGGGGAGACCAGAAG
rnacentral:rRNA from 1 species